rnacentral:rRNA from 1 species
GAUGAACGCUGGCGGCGUGCCUAAUACAUGCAAGUCGAGCGAACAGACGAGGAGCUUGCUCCUCUGACGUUAGCGGCUGACGGGUGAGUAACACGUGGAUAACUUACCUAUAAGACUGGGAUAACUUCGGGAAACCGGAGCGAAUACCGGAUAAUCUAUUGAACCGCAUGGUUCAAUAGUGAAAGGCGGUUUUGCUGUCACUUCUAGAUGGAUCAGCUCCGCAUUAGCUAGUUGGUAAGGUAACGGCUUACCAAGGCGACGAUGCGUAGCCGACCUGACAGCGUGAUCGGCCACACUGGAACUGAGACACGGUCCAGACUCCUACGGGAGGCAGCAGUAGGGAAUCUUCCGCAAUGGGGGAAAGCCUGACGGAGCAACGCCGCGUAAGUGAUGAUGGUCUUCGGAUCGUAAAACUCUGUUAUUAGGGAAGAACAAAUGUGUAAGUAACUAUGCACAUAUUGACGGUACCUAAUCAGAAAGCCACGGCUAACUACGUG